AUUGAACGCUGGCGGCAUGCCUUACACAUGCAAGUCGAACGGUAACAGGUCUUCGGACGCUGACGAGUGGCGAACGGGUGAGUAAUACAUCGGAACGUGCCCAGUCGUGGGGGAUAACUACUCGAAAGAGUAGCUAAUACCGCAUACGAUCUGAGGAUGAAAGCGGGGGACUUCGAGCCUCGCGCGAAUGGAGCGGCCGAUGGCAGAUUAGGUAGUUGGUGGGAUAAAAGCUUACCAAGCCGACGAUCUGUAGCUGGUCUGAGAGGACGACCAGCCACACUGGGACUGAGACACGGCCCAGACUCCUACGGGAGGCAGCAGUGGGGAAUUUUGGACAAUGGGCGAAAGCCUGAUCCAGCAAUGCCGCGUGCAGGAUGAAGGCCUUCGGGUUGUAAACUGCUUUUGUACGGAACGAAAAAGCUUCUCCUAAUACGAGAGGCCCAUGACGGUACCGUAAGAAUAAGCACCGGCUAACUACGUGCCAGCAGCCGCAGUAAUAC
rnacentral:rRNA from 1 species